GCUUAUCCUCUGUUAUUGUGUACUCUCUCUAGGUGGGCGAGAUAAUAAAGAUCAUGAAAGCAUACAUCAACAUGAUUGUGAAGAAACGCUGCAGUGUCAAAUCAGCCACCAGUGUGGACAGUCAUGCCAGCAUCUGGACUAGGUGAUACGAAUGAACUGCCACACACGAGAGGCAGUUGUUUGAUGGUUAGUAUUUGCAACUUGCCAGCACAAGUGUAGCAAAGAUGUUUUUUAAAAACUCCACUUGAUUGACUACUGUAUUUCAGAACUGAAGUGACAUCUACAGAACCAUAGGAUUUGCACCUCUGCCCAAAGACAGUAAACAGUAACAACUGUUGUUAAAUAUUAAUGACCCAAAACUUGUUUCCCCUUUGCUUGUCUGAUGAACAAUGUACCUUAAAGAAGCGAAGUCAGAAGCAUCCUCCUCUUCCUGCGUGUCCUCUCCGCUGCUUUCACCUGUCAUACUGGCAGAAAAAUUCACAAGAAUAAUUUCUGCACUACAGGAGACAGACUUGAGCUUCCUUAUGAAUUUCCAACAGGCAAAAAUCUGGGAUCAUGAGAUCUCAGCAUGAUCUGCUAAAAGAAUAUUUGGGUUUUAUUUAUUUUGCAAGCAACUCCAAAAUAAAAGUCACUGUGGGUUUUUUCUUCAGGAUAUACCAAUGAUCUGAUCUGGUCUGAAAAGAAAAUGCCUUUGAAAAAUUGAAGCCAGCUGGGCCAACUAAGAGGUUAAACCCUACUUGAGAAAGCAUUAAACAAACAUAAAACCACCCAGGGUGAUUCUUCACCUUCCAAUAUAAGUUCACAGGUACACAACUGUAAAAAGUGGCACUUUAAGUUAAAAUUCUAAGUACUCCAACACAGGAGAAAACCUUUGGGACUAACACCACUGAAACAGGUCAGCAGGCACCAUUCCGAGAACAUUCCAAACAGCACCUAAUGCCUAAAAAUGAAUGACUGCCUUUCCCCCAUACAGCUGAGGAGGUGAGAUUGAUUUAGCUGCAUCUCCAGAAGAGCUGCUCUUCACAAACUCCAAGUUUUAGAUGAAGGUCAGGGGUUUUUAUAGUGAGCAGCCUGCCUGCAUUAAGUUCAUUCUUUCUUUAUAUGAAAUUUUAGGAUGACUGGGAUUCCUGAACUUUAGUUUUAAGUAAGUAAGUGAACUGUUUCUUACAGAGCAAAUAGAUGCCUAGAUAAAUUGUUAUAGGUAAGAUUCUCACUUCCCCAAUACUACUGUAAGCAGAUGCCAAACCUUUCAUCCUCCUCUCAAUUCUAAUUGGAACUGAUCCCAUCGGUGAAUCCCCAGAUACACUUCCAAUCUCCUCUAGGUCCCUAGUCAUCAGCAAAACUUGAAAACAAACCUGUUUUGCCAAAACAACUGCUUCUUGGAGGGUUUUAUAGCUACUCGCAAUUUGAAGAAACAGAAUUCUUUUUUCUCAGUGAAAGAUGACAGUCAUCUUCAGUCUCUUGACUUCAGAAACUUGAUUUCAUAGUUUAAAACAAUAUUCAGUAUCAGUCACAUCAUAAAUUGGUUGCAUCAGUAAUCAAGAAACUUGGUGGCUAGCCAUUUACUAUGACCCUUGUUAAGUUGUGGGAUCCUAGCAUGCAAAGGCCCAUUCAGUUUCUUAAUGAAACUGAAGUGCUGUAUGUGAUGCGGGCCUUGUUCCGUGUUUGAAAUCAGACAUCUCCAUUUCCAUAGAAGUGGCAGAUAAGGCCUGUUUGUUAGCUAUGAAAUAGAAAUUUCAUAGUAAAAACCCUAGGAGUCAGUAUGCAACGGCUUCUGUUUGAAUUCGUUAUCAGAUUGUGCCAUGUCACUAAUACUGUGCUGCAGAACACCGUAGUUUUGAGCUUGACAGUACAAGAAGCCCCCCUGUACAUAACCCAUGCUUUUCUCUCAUUUCCACUGCACUGCAGCAUGUGCAGACACUCUGUCCACCUGCCACACAACCAGUCUAAGAGGAUAGCCACUGCUGUACAUUGUAACUUCAACUGGAGUUUUGCCUUAAAUAGCUUUACUGAAGGAUCCUACAAACAUCCCCUUCUUGUCACAAAGAAUGAAAAGAUGACCAGGUCACAAGUGAGAGAGAACAGGAAUGCGGAGGCAACCUGAGAAGCAACACUUUGUAUUGGUCCAUACACUGACUAGAUCUCUUUAUGUAUCAGAAUAGCCUUGAUUAUCCCUGUCCUAACUCUGCACUAGCUCUGUGUUCUGGCUCUUGGGUUGCUGCAGGCAGCUUGAACCCACUUGGAAAUGUAACUCCCAUUACUAUUUGUUGUAAUUUUGCUUAUUUCUAUUACAGAAUUCCUUCUGCUGUCU
rnacentral:lncRNA from 1 species